GACGAACGCUGGCGGCGUGGAUUAGGCAUGCAAGUCGGACGGUAGGGCUUUAUCGUAAGAUAGAGUUUGAGAGUGGCGAAUGGGUGAGUAACACGUAGGAAUCUACCCUUAAGACGGGGACAACCCAGGGAAACUUGGGCUAAUACCGGAUGAGAGUGCGAGAGAUUGCAUUUAAAAGGAUGGCGAAAGUUAUCGCUUAGGGAUGAGCCUGCGGUCUAUUAGUUAGUUGGUGGGGUAAGAGCUCACCAAGGCGAUGAUAGAUAGGCGGCCUUAACGGGUGGUCGCCCACACUGGGAUUGAGAUACGGCCCAGACUCCUACGGGAGGCAGCAGUCGAGAAUAGUCUACAAUGGUCGGAAGACUGAUAGUGCGACGCCGCGUGAACGAUGAAUCCCUUCGGGGUUAAAGUUCUUUUAUAUGUGAGCAGUGCUUUCUUAUAUUUAACAGUAUGGGGAAGAGAUAUUAGCAUAUGAAAUAAGCAACGGCUAACUCCGUGCCAGCACGG
rnacentral:rRNA from 1 species